rnacentral:rRNA from 1 species
UACGGAGGGGGCUAGCGUUGUUCGGAUUUACUGGGCGUAAAGGGCGCGUAGGCGGCAAAUUAAGUCAGCUGUGAAAUCUCCGAGCUUAACUCGGAACUGUCAGCUGAUACUGAUCUGCUAGAGUGCGGAAGGGGCAAUCGGAAUUCUUGGUGUAGCGGUGAAAUGCGUAGAUAUCAAGAGGAACACCUGAGGUGAAGACGGGUUGCUGGGCCGACACUGACGCUGAGUGCGCGAAAGCCAGGGGAGCAAACGGG